rnacentral:lncRNA from 1 species
ACUUCAUCUUGUUUCAUUUAAGAGUGGGAAAUUCACAAUGUACACUUGUGAUUUUGGAUGUUCUAAAUGAUAAAACAAUAGUUUUGGCUUCCGGUUGGUAUACUUAUAUGUACAAUUCUAUACCAUAUCCUAUCCGUCAGGUUCUGUUAAAUAGACGUUAACUAAUCUUAAAUCAACUUUAAUAUAAAAUCUAAAAACGAAAAAAAUCUAAAAAUAAAAGAAAUCUAAAAAGAAUCACCGCCACUACUUACAGCCCCCCCAAUCUCUCUGUCUAGGUAGCAACCCCCCUCAUACCAGCAAAAUCUCGGCCAAACCGAUGUACCCAUAACUGUAGCGGCGUAGUCACACUCCGAUUAUCUCCACCGAGACUACAUCUUGUCAGCGCCUGGAGGACACAUUCACCGUCAUCAAGCCUUCUCAUCUGUUCUUAAACUCUCCAUCCCCGAUAUAUACUUCUAUCACCACCAACCCAAGCUGUCGCGACGACCCAACCCGUUGCCCAAUCACUACCCAAGUACAAUCCCGAAAUUCAUUCUUAUUCUUCCAAAUUCUCUCUUCAACCCUUGACUUCAAGUCUUCAACAGUAGUCGUACACUUCCACAAUGCGCCACCUCUUUAAACUCACUUCCCAUACAUAUACAUAUACAUGUGAACACAUACUCUCAUUUGUAAAUCGACGUUGAUUUCCUCUAAACCCUAAUUUUGCUCGAUGUUUAUCCUCAAAUUGACUCCUCAAUCGUAAUUUCUUUUACUAUGAUAUAGAAUGAUACAAUAAUAUAAGUGUAACAACUGAAACCAAAACUAUUUGCAUUCCCUUUAAGAUUUUAUUAACUA